rnacentral:rRNA from 1 species
GAUGAACGCUAGCGGCAGGCCUAAUACAUGCAAGUCGAACGGGAUUAAGAGGCUUGCUUCUUAUGAGAGUGGCGCACGGGUGCGUAACACGUAUGCAACCUACCUUUAACUGGGGGAUAGCCUUCCGAAAGGGAGAUUAAUACCGCAUAACAUAAUUGAACGGCAUCGUUUGAUUAUCAAACUUCCAAGGGUUAAAGAUGGGCAUGCGUCCGAUUAGUUAGUUGGUGAGGUAACGGCUCACCAAGGCAUCGAUCGGUAGGGGAUCUGAGAGGAUGACCCCCCACAAUGGUACUGAGACACGGACCAGACUCCUACGGGAGGCAGCAGUAAGGAAUAUUGGUCAAUGGACGCAAGUCUGAACCAGCCAUGCCGCGUGCAGGAAGACGGUCCUCUGGAUUGUAAACUGCUUUUGUUAGGGAAGAAACCCUCUGAUGCGUCAGAGGCUGACAGUACCUAAAGAAUAAGGAUCGGCUAACUCCGUGCCAGCAGCAGCCGCGGUAA